AACACGGACCAAGGAGUCUAACAUGUGCGCGAGUCAUUGGGACUUGAAAGCCUAAAGGCGCAAUGAAAGUAAAGGUAGGCCUUAGCGUCGACCGAGGGAGGAUGGCUCGCGUCACGAUGCGAGUCCGCACUCCCGGGGCGUCUCGUGCUCAUCGCGAGCAGAGGCGCACCCAGAGCGUACACGUUGGGACCCGAAAGAUGGUGAACUAUGCCUGGUCAGGACGAAGUCAGGGGAAACCCUGAUGGAGGUCCGUAGCGAUUCUGACGUGCAAAUCGAUCGUCGGAACUGGGUAUAGGGGCGAAAGACUAAUCGAACCAUCUAGUAGCUGGUUCCCUCCGAAGUUUCCCUCAGGAUAGCUGGCACUCGCUUGAGCGAGUCUCAUCUGGUAAAGCGAAUGAUUAGAGGCCUUGGGGCCGAAACGACCUCAACCUAUUCUCAAACUUUAAAUGGGUGAGAUCUCUGGCUUGCUUGAACGCUGAAGCCACGAGAUGCAAUUUGCAAUGGAUCAGAGUGCCAAGUGGGCCAAUUUUGGUAAGCAGAACUGGCGCUGUGGGA
rnacentral:rRNA from 1 species